rnacentral:pre_miRNA from 1 species
AAUGGGAUUGCUGGGUCAUAUGGUCACUCUAUGUUUAACCUUAUAAGAAACUGUCAAAUUGUUUUCCAAUGUGUCUGUACUAUUUUUGCAUUCCCACCAGCAGU